AGCAUUCAAUAUUUAGGCCCGUAUGAUUGGCUGGAUUUUCACGAAAUUAUGUGAGACUGCCCCCCUCAAACCCUGUUACAAUCUCGGCACGUCACCUUCGUGACG
rfam:Fukomys damarensis contig126814, whole genome shotgun sequence.